rnacentral:rRNA from 1 species
AUGGAUCUGGUGGCGGCGGGGCGCGGCGAGGCCAUCAAAUGGCUCCUGAACAAACUCGGGGCGCUGCUUGCUGAGGACUACACUUUGACCCGAGGCGUCCGUGGCGACGUACAGUACAUCACCGACGAGCUCGGCGCUAUGCAGGCGUUCAUUGGCGACCUCUGCUGCACGGAGCCCCACGGCCACGACCUCCGGGCAAGGGAUUGGCUCAAGCAGAUCCAUGAGGUCACCUACGACGUCGAGGACUGUGUCGACGACUUCACCCACCGGUUGCAUCACGACCCCACCACCGACCUUUGCUGCUCGUUUGCCGCCUCUAAAAUCUAUGAGGUCUGGACGUGGUGGCCUCGCCACGAAAUAGCUUCUACUUUAUCUGAACUCAAGAUGCGGGUGCAGCAAAUCGGGGAACGGUGCAUCCAGUGCAGCCUCGACAACCCAAAGACCAGCAGCGACAGGCCCGGUGGAGCUGCCAUUGGGUUCAACGCUGCAGAGAAUCAGCAGACAAGGCUUGCGCUUGUUAGAACCAAGACACCCGUGGGAGUUGAAAGGGACAUGGAGAUGCUUGGGAAAUGGAUGCUGACAGCUGAGGGGCCGGCAGAGACCAUUGCACAGCAACUUCCAAGCAAUAGCACCGUUGUCCCUGUGGAAGAACCUAAUGCAGAUCCAACAAACCAUGGUGUGCUAUGCAUAGUCGGAUUGGCAGGGGUGGGCAAGACCACAAUAGCCAGAUCAUUAUAUCAAAACUUCAGUGAUCAGUUUGACCGCAGGGCGAUGGUCACAGUGUCACAGAAAUCUGAUGUAGAGGCAGUACUAAGGAGUAUACUCUACCAGAUCAUGCCACAGGUCAGAGAAGGUACCAGGCAGCAGCGGUGGUGGGACACAUCUCAUGGCAGUAUUAGGGGCAGCACCUUGAAGAAAGCACGUGAUAGGCUACAAACAUUGAAACUUCAAAAACUCAAGGAAGAGCUUAAGGAGCACUUAGAGAAAUACAGUUACCUGCUCGUGCUGGAUGAUGUUUGGUCUACUGAUAUGUUGGAGCUGAUAAAGAAGUCACUGCCUAAAAGUGAGAAAGGUAGCAGAGUGAUUGUUACGUCAAGAUUCCAGGCUGUUGCCAGUGCUUCAGUAAGGAAUAAAGGAGAUUAUCUUUACGAGGCUGUAAUCCUCAGCGGGGACAAAUCUGAAGUAUUAUUUAUGGACAUCAUGGCUGAAGCUAAAGGUUGCCAGGAACAGCAAGAUAAGAGCAAAAUUAUACCUGAACACUGGGAAAUGUGCAUGAGGCUGCCAUUGGCGAUAGUUAUCAUGGCUGGAUAUGUUGCCUGCAACCCACAUAUUUCUGACUGGAAACAAGUUUUUAAGGAUCUGGUACCAGAUUAUCUGAAACCUCUUUCCCAUGAUGGAUUAAUGUGCAUUAUUGAUAAUUGCUAUUUUGAUAUGCCACUUGAGAUCAAAAGAUGCUCUCUAUAUCUCAGUAUAUUUCCAAGCAGUUCGCAAAAUAGCAGGAAACGCCUCUUAAGAAAAUGGAUCUCAGAAGCUCUUGUCAGUGAGAAACAAGGAUUGAGCGUAGAAGAGGUUGCAGAAACAUGCUUCAAUCAUUUGAUAAAGAGACAGAUAAUUCGAGCUGUGAAGCACAGUAGCAAUGGAAAGGUGAAGACCUAUGAAGUUCAUCACAUGAUACAUGAGUAUCUUGUGUGCAAGGCGGGUGAAGAAAAUUUUGUCACUGUGGUUGGUGGCCAGUGGUUCGUUGCACCGCCCAGUAAUAUGGUUCGGCGUUUGUCACUUCAGAGUGAUGGUUUGAAGACUGAGAGUGCAAAAAAUAACAUGAACCUAUCCCAUGUGCGAUCGUUGAGCGUAUUUGGUACUUUGAAUGGGUUGCUUUCCAAGCCACAAAAGUUGAGAAUUGUGCAACAUUUGGAUCUUGAAGGCUGUACAGAUUUCAAACAAGAACACACAAAAGUUGUCUGCGAACUUUUUCUUCUCAAGUACCUCAGCCUCCGCAGAACAGACAUCACAAAGCUUCCUAAAGAUAUAGGGAAACUUCAGUAUUUAGAGACCCUUGACAUCAGGGAAAGUGGUAUUACAAAGUUACCCAAAACUAUUUGCCAGCUGGAAAAGGUGAAGAAUAUACUUGGCGGGAACAAAAAGACACGGAAGGCAUUGAAGCUUCCUGAGGAUAUGAAGAAGAAGCCAAUAAAAUCCCUCUGUGUAUUGUCAGGCAUCGAAAUUGUCGAAGGACCAUCUUCAGUAGCAGAUUUCCGUCAGCUGACCAAGCUGAGGAAGCUUGUAAUCUACAAGUUGAACAUCAAGAAUGAGGGUAAACUUUUCGAUGAAUUGAGGUUCUCUAUUGAAGAUCUUUGUGGCUACUCGCUCCAAACCCUUGUAAUUGAUGAUGGGUCUGCUGGUUUUCUCAGCUCAUGGGGUUGUCUCUCCUCCCCGCCCAAGUUUCUGAAUGCCCUUGAGCUGUCUUGCAAACUGCAGGCGAAAGUGGUUAAUCUCCCAAAAUGGAUCAUUGAACUGGACACACUGACAAAGCUAACCCUCUCACUCGGGAUGCUUAGCUCAGAUGCUUUGGUGCAACUUAGCCAGCUGAGGAAGCUGUUCUCUCUCACAUUUUCUCUUGAUGACGCAAAACAGGGUCUAGAACCGGAAGCCACUUGCAGACAGAUCCAGCUUCACUUGGAACAUCCUAACAUUACCAUGAUGAUCAUAGUUCACCCUGGUGGAUUCGAGAGUCUGAAGCUUCUUCGUUUUUCUGCCCCUUACGUGCCAAAAUUGGUGUUUCUGGAGAAGGCUACACCGAACCUCGAAAGGCUUGAUCUACGGUUCUUUGCUUUUGAGGGAGUUGACGGUAUAGAGCACCUUAAGGUUCUGAAAGAGUUGCACUUAAGUUUACACAACAAUGGAAGUCGGGGUACCGAAAAGAUAAUACAACAGAUUUCAAAUGAAGCACGGCAAUGUGAGAAUGGACCAAAGUUGAUUGUCGAUCAGUACCAUUAG